GAACGCUGGCGGCGUGCCUAAUACAUGCAAGUCGAACGGUCUUUCUAUGGAAGCUUGCUUCCGACUGAGAAGAUAGUGGCGAACGGGUGAGUAACACGUGGGUAACCUGCCCGAUAAGAGGGGGAUAACAUCCGGAAACCGGGUGCUAAUACCGCAUAGUUUUCUUGAUCGCAUGAUUGAGAAAGGAAAGACGGCCUUUGUGCUGUCGCUUAUGGAUGGACCCGCGGCGUAUUAGUUAGUUGGUGAGGUAACGGCUCGACCAAGACGAUGAUACGUAGCCGACCUGGAGAGGGUGAUCGGCCACAUUGGGACUGAGACACGGCCCAAACUCCUACGGGAGGCAGCAGUAGGGAAUCUUCCGCAAUGGACGAAAGUCUGACGGAGCAACGCCGCGUGAGUGAAGAAAGGUUUUCGGAUCGUAAAACUCUGUUGUCAGAGAAGAACAAGUUGGAGAGUAACUGCUCCAGCCUUGACGGUAUCUGACCAGAAAGCCACGGCUAACUACGUGCCAGCCGCUGC
rnacentral:rRNA from 1 species